UUUUUUUUUGUUUUUGUUUUUUUUUGUCUUUUUGCCAUUUCUUGGGCCACUUUCGCAGUAUAUGGAGGUUCCCAGGCUAGGGGUCAAAUCAGAGCCAUAGCCGCAGGCCUACGCCAGAGCCACAGCAACUCAGGAUCCGAGCCGCAUCUGCAACCUACACCACAGCUCACGGCAAUGCCAGAUCCUUAACCCACUGAGCGAGGCCAGGGAUCGAACCCGCAACCUCAUGGUUCCUAGUCGGAUUCGUUAACCACUGAGCCACGAUGGGAACUCCUGUAGUAAUACUUUUAAAGGGAAGUUUUGAGGUGGGAAAUAGAUAUCUGGAAUCUGCUUUAAGGUUUUUGUGUGCUCAUUGUGAUGGACUGUGUAAAAUGCAUGUCCAGAAAAAUGCGGGUGGAUGUGUCAACAAGGGCUGAUGUUAACAGGAGCCCAGGCAGUAGGGAGAGUCCCAAACAACUCCCUCUGGGGAAGACUGAGUCUCCCUGGGGCUCGGGCUUUUAAUCAACAAGAAAAGCCACCAUGGGGUUCCUGGUCCAUUAGUAAUAUUUCUGUUGGCAGCAGAGUGAUACUGUAUCUGCUUUGGCUAAAAAAUAUGAAUCUUCUACUCUCUUACUAACAGAUGAUGGUGAAGGGGCACAUGGUAACUGUUAAGGACUGCGUGUUGUGUUCCCCCAAAAUUCAUGUGUUGAAACCCUGAUCUUCAAUGUGAUGGUGUUUGGAGAUGGAGCCUUUGAGAAGUAAUUAGAUUAUGAAGGUGGGGGUCUUUAUGGUGAGAUUAGUACCCUUAUAAGACGAGAUGGGGGAAAGCUUGCUUCCCCUCUGUCUGUGUGUCUCUUUUCUGUCUGUUUCUCUCUCUGUCUCUCUCUGUGUUUCUGUCUCUAUCUCUGUCAUUGUCUCUCUGUCUCUCUCCUUGUCCUGGCCUCUCUCUCUUCUCUUUCUCUUAGCAAUGUGAGGAUCCAUCGAGAAGAUGGCUAUGUAUAUACACCGGAGAGCGGAUCUGCAGCACCUUAUUUUGAGCUUUCCAGCUUCCAGAAUUGUGAGAAAUAAAUAUUUAUUUAAACUACCCAGCCUAGUCUGUUAUUUUUGCUCUAGCAGCCUGAAGUAAGACAGUAACUAAAGGGAAUAAAGAACUGUGUUAUUCCAACUAUAGACUUUAUUGCAAAUCUGAAAUGGAAAUAAAGUCAAGGGUCUAGUAUUUAUUUACAAUAAAAUCAAUGGGUUAAGCGUGCUUUUCGAUUCUUAUGUUUUACCGUGUUUUGAAAUAAUAAACAUUUAUGGUGUUCUUAAAGCAUGCAUUGUUCUCAUUAUUUUAUGUGGAUUAUCUUACUUACUCCUCACCACGAUGCUGAGAAAGAUCUUAUUGUUAUUUUCAGUAGCAUCAAGAGGUUAGAAUGAAAGAUUCCCCAAGGGCACUUGGUGAUGUGUCAUUGAUGUCUGUGUCUUGAGAUGGCACAGUGGUGAAAGAGCUGUCUGCCCAGGCAGACAUGAAUUGUGUGCCUGGAGACUGUCCGUACAAGGUGGGUGACUAUGUGUACAGCCUCCGUCAGUUCCCAUCACAUUAGGAUGUCCACAGUUCUUUAUCUCAUCUUUAAGGCCUUAUCUAACCCAACUUCUUCAUUAGUAAUUCUCUGCGCGUCCUUCUCUUUCCUUACCUGCUGUGUGUUUCCCCAUAAACACAGCUAUUACUACUUGACAUUGUUGCGCGUAGAAAGGAAGAUCAGUCCCAGGUGAGGAUUCCCGCCACCUGGAGGGCAGUAAAGAGCACAGCGGUGCCAACCCCCCAAAAUAGAAGCCCACAGACCUCAAGCCCCUGCAGCACCUGUGGGCUCCGAGUUUCCAAGGAGGACUCAACACAUGAUGUGCUGGCUGGAACAGUGCUUUGCCCAGAAGGGAGAAGUAAUGCAGCAAGAUCAGCGUCUAUGGUGUGUGCUUGUCUGUCCUGGCCAGCGAGUCGAGUCUCUCCUGAGAGCUGACGCAGGGGAUGGACUGCACACACCCCUCUGCAUGAAGACUCCCUUCUCUCCCUGUGGAGAAGGCAGGGGGCAAAGAUACUGGGGGCGCUGGCCAGGUGCCAUAAAACACACAUGCUUAGGCAACACAAGGAAGUUUACUGCUUCCCAGCAAAGGGACAGUUUCUCCUAAUAAGGAAGAACUUGGAGCCAAGAGACAGCUUGCACCUGGCCUCCAUAUAUGGAAAUAUUCCAGGCCCAGAGCACCCUUAGGUGAUGCUGGGGAGAGCAUACAGGUCAUGUGGUGGCUGCUGCCCCAACAGUCCACCCCCAACUCUCAGUGGGGUACCAGGAAAAACAAACAAAAUAUGUCACAGGUUCCAGGACCACUGGCUAUCUUGAACAUGGAGGCAGAGGAGUGUUCUGUGUGGUUCAUGCCCCACAGAGCCUCACAGGACCUCCCUGCUCAAGUGAGACAGUAUGUGCUCAGGGCCACCAAUGUGAACUUCCAAGGAGAAUGACCAGACUUUCUUGGAGUAUGGCCCUCAGUCAGGAGCCCUAGGUUCCAGGGUUUAGCCAACAAAGAAGGUCAAAGAAUGAGAGUAAAGUGGACUUACAAAUGAUCUUGCUUGAAUAUGGUUUUUCUCCAGCUUGGUCUUGACUUUCCCCUAAUUGUUGAUGUACAUGGAGCAAGAGGUGUUGGCUCUAACAGCUUGUUCUACCAUUAGGUAAUCCAGGGUGAUCAGGUUACCCGUCAUCAACUUGGCUAGUGAGUUCAGUGAAUCCCGUUGGUCCUGAAUGGCCUGGAUGGUGGAAUUAGCCAUUUCUGCCAUGGUCAAAGAGGGUGUAUGUCAUCUUUUCUAGGGCCUGUGUGCUAUCCUGGUAUUUAAUUUUGGAUAGUUAGAUGGAACCAAUUGUCAGUCUUCCCCUUGGGAAAAAUGUCACCUGCCACCCUUUGAUGGGCCAGCAGAGCGUGGGCCCUCUCCCUUGCCAUGCAGUUAUCCACAUGGACAGCGGGUCCUAGGACCCUGAGGCAGCAAGACUCUUCUCCAGAGUCAAGGCCAUUGCCCAUUGAGGUCCAAAAAGAAAUGUAUUUCAAAUGAGAACAAGUGACCGCCACCAGGUUAUUGUAUCUUUGACUAAUCCACUUACAUCAUGUGCCUACCUCUUGUUGUGGGUUUAAGAGAAAAAUUUAUACCUCUGCCUCUGCCCAGAUUGCCUGUAUGAGUUGGCAACACCUGACCCCCUGUGGGGUCCUUUCUAAUCAUGUUAGAGGUGACAUUAAAGCAGAAGACACUGGAAUGAUCCUGCACCUGAACUCUUAUCAGUGGAGUCACUCAUCAGGCAGAUCCAUUGAUGGCCUAAGGAAGUCCUGGUCAUAUGUAUUGGCCAGGCCACCAGGGUGGGGGCCUGAAGCAAGAGGCCUCUCAGCCUUGGGUGGCAGAUCCACCUUUGUUUUAGGUCACCUUGCUUGGCUACAGCAGUGCUGAUUUUGAUGAGGUGUUAUCAAUCCAGGUAUCACCAUGGGUCUUAAAGAGGAAGAGAGAGGUCUGCCUUAUCUUCCAAGGCAGAAGAUGUUCUUGUUGUCACUUGAGGUGUGAAGGGUCUGAGGAUGGCCACCCAGCCUGUCCCUCCUAACCCAGGGGCCAGGACCUCCUCAGGAACCCAUUACUCUUGCUGUUACACUUAAUCCUUUCAGCCCAACAUUCAGUCUAGGCAAUCAAGUUAUGUCCUGUACAAACUUUGCAUAUCCUAUAACAUCACCUGUACAGGGGAGUUGGGAGUUCCUGAUGCUACCAGGGGAAUCCUUGUAUUGUGGUGUUCUGUGGCCCUGUCCUUAUUUUCUAUGGGGUCCCAGGGUUGCCAAGCACCCUGGGGCAGCAUGCCUUCCAAGUUAGAGUAGGGGCUGGGUCCCUGUGUCAAGUGCUACUUUUAUGUGGGCCACAAACUGUUCCUGGGCAGAGCAUUGAAGAGGCAAAAAAGAAAAGGAGUGUUUGAGCAUGCUGAGAUUGGGAUUCCUCAAGUGUAAAUUAAUCAGGCUACUGCCUUGUCCUUCACCCCCUCCAAGCUAGUAUUCCUGAGCACGCAUUGCAGUGCUAGAGCAUCUCUGGCCUCAGGUGGUACAGGGAGGAGGGACACUUAUUACUUCAUCCCCCUGAGUAUCCAAAUUGUAUGCCAUGGGAUUGUGCCCACUUUGGUGUGGCUUGUGCUGUAAAAGAAGUUCCCUGAUCUGACUGGGGGCCAGAAGGGUACCUGAACACAUGGCAGAGAUUUUUUUCCAGUGUUUCUAGGGAAUUAUUGGCAUGUGGGUACCAUAUGGGAAUGGCAUUUCCAUGUCUGGAGGAAGUGUCAAGCUUGUGAGGCAUCAGAGCAGCCCAUAUCUGAGUGUUAAAGGUCCAGUGGAAGCAGUCUGCUGAAUCUAAGCCUGCAGAUGCCCCAGCAGGUAGGUCCUCCUUCUCCUUGUACUGCUUGGGCUUGUUGGCAGCAAUUGCAAGGUAUGCAAAACCACAUCCUUGGCUUCUGCAUCUUUGAGGAUUAUUCCCCUGGAUUUGGUCCAUUCCUGAUUUGAGGUACACUUCCAUGACUGGUUCUCUGAUGCAUUCAGCAGGCUACCAUUGUGGCUUGUUAGCUCAGACAUUUCAUUCCUGUACUGGUUUGAAAAGCCCUUUGUCAUAAGCAUCCACAUGAGUGACUAAGACUUGUCAGUUGCAUGUAUCAAGGUAUUUUGUCCUUGUUUUCACUCAGGGGUUUCUGUAAUAAUUCUGUUAUUUAGUUGCCAGUCCUCUGACCAAAUGGCUAGACUGCUUGCCACAGCCCAGGAGUCAGUAAAAAUCUAGCGAGGCUUGUUGGGUGGAUUGACUUGCACAGCCAUUACCACCAUAUGCCGUCCGCUGGGUGGAGCAUCCUCCAGUUUCUGCUAAGAGGUGGCCAUGCAUGUGGCAGAUGGCUGUGACAGCCCAGUGGGCCCCACCAGCUUUCAGUUUUGCAGAACCAUUAUUAAAUCAGGCCAUGCCUUUCAGCUAGAACCUCUUCAAGGAAUGACCUCCCCUUCCCUGGGGACAGAGGUGGGGAAGGCAUCCCUUUUUGGAAUGCUCUGUUCCUGCUGGCAGUCUGGCUGCCUUCUUAUGGAGUCCAUUGAUCCCUUGGAGUCCUGGCCUGGCCCAGUUUUGAAUGUACCAUUUUCCAUUUGAUGAUGGAACUUGUCUGAUUUUAUUAUUGAGAUUGGUGGGAAGCCGGGUAACCUCAGGUCUCAGAGUCACGUAAGUUCUUUUGAUGUGCAAUGUUCCAUCACCGCCAGAGUCUGACAGCAGUGAGAAGCGGCCGUUCAAAGGGUGCAUGUUGGACAGUGGCUUCAGGCAGCUUGUGGGUCCAAAAUCCAAGAGACUGGCACCCCAAUAUGUUUUUCUGCUGCCACAGACUCCAACCAGCAUGUGUGGGCAUUGAGGGCACCUGCAGUUCCAUAGGGCUUCCAAGAUCCAAAGGUCACAAGGCCAGUGCCCAAAUCUUAGCCAAUGGAACAGCUUCCAGGGCUUGUCGUUGGAAAAGCCCCAUUCUAAGUCCACUUCCAGAAGGAUACCCAGAUGGGGUACGUGCUGUCCCCAGAGAGGCCCACUUGCUGCUAGGCUUCUUCUUUAGUAGUGGGUGUAGCUACUGACAGUGACUUCUGUUCAACUUUCUCCAGAAUAUUCGUUGACACUUGUUUGUGUGCUUCUGACCAUGAGGUGUGUCCACUUAACGUCCGUUCUGAUGAGUGUUCCACCAGCUGGUCCAUGGCCGUGUAUUUAAACACCACCUUUCUUCACACUGUCCCUUUCAAGAACCCUGAGUUUUAAUAACCAGCUUUUAUUAAAAUGGUGAAAUGUUGCUAUGAUGAAAGUAAUAUUUUCUUCUUAAAAUAAAAUUUGGAAAAGGAGAAAACACUGACUCAUAAUCCCUCCACACAGAAGUAGAAUGGCUGAGGUCCUAGAAUGUUUCCUCCUAUUCUGUUUUGUGUAUUUGUUUGCUUCCUUGCACAGAGCUGUGUUUGUGUUCAUGUUUUGCUUUUUGAACUUAAUAUAUACAUACAUAUAUCCCACGUUGUCAUAUGCCUUGUUUUGAAAAUGAACCAAAUAUUGAGUAUAUACUGACAUGACAGAGAUAAAUUGGGAGUGUCUAUGUAGGUUACCUUGUUUACAGCAGCAUCCAGUGAGGUGGACAUUAUCAUCCCUAGUUUUCAGUUGAGGAAAUGAAGGCUCAAAAGGUUUCCAUCACUUGUCCAGAUCACAGAGCUAAUAAAGGCCAGUGACAAAAUUGAUCCAGCCCGGGGCCGACUUCAAGUACCUGUGGGAGUUCCUGUUGUAGCACAAUGGAAAUGAAUCUGACCAGGAAUCAUGAGGUUGCAGGUUCAAUCCCUGGCCUCGCUCAGUGGGUUAAGGAUCCGGCAUUGCUGUGAGCUAUGGUGUAGGUCUGCAGAUGCUGGUCAGAUCUGAUGUUUUUGUGGCUGUGGCACAGACUGUAACUCCGAUUUGACUCCUAGCCUGGGACCCUCCAUAUGCCGUGGGUGGGGCCCUAAAACUCCAAAAAAAAAACCCCACAAAAAAACAAAAAACCCCCAAAACUGUGUUCUUUUGGGAGUUCCCACUGUGGUGCAAUGGGAGCAGCAGCAUCUUGGGAGCACUGGGCACAGGUUUGAUCCCUGGCCUAGCAUGCUGGGUUGGGUAUCUGGCGUUGCCACAGCUGCUGCGGCGGCUCGGAUCCGAUCCCUGGCCUGGGACCCAUAUGUGCUGCAGGGUGGCCAAAAAAGAGGGGCGGGGGAGAAGAACCUAUGUUCUUUUGACUGUGCAUUUUGAAAGCUAUCAGAUAUGCUAUCUGAUUACACUGUGUCGUGAAACCGAAGCAGUGAAGGCACUCGUGGUAGGGCUACCUGCCACCUGAGUCAGCACCCCUCCUUUCAGGGAGCACUUGUCUUCCAGGCCCAAACCAGUGCCCAGGCCUGUGGUAGAAAGGCAACUGCCUUCCUUCCUUGAGCAGGUUUCUGUCCACAGGGCUUUGUGCUGAUCCUGGGCACACAUGAUUAAUUCCAGGUGUCACACGUGUCCCUAGUGUUGUGG
rnacentral:lncRNA from 1 species